ACCAAAUAUUUCCCAAUCAAUUAUUUUUAACUUUUCGCGCAUUACAGUAUGUCUGCAAGCACGUCAUCUAUCCUUAUCAAAAGAAUCCUACAUUUUUACUGGUACGAAUCAAAAUUAAAAUGAAUGCGAUGUUUAUCGGGCAUUUAAGAAAAUAGCGUUUUCGAAUACGAAAUCCUCUGAACAAGGACACACGAAAUCGUUAAAUACCACAAAACAGUAUUUUAUUUUUUUUUUUUAUUAAUUUU